GACAGAGGGUGCAAACGUUGUUCGGAAUUACUGGGCGUAAAGCGCAUGUAGGCGGUUCGUCAAGUCAGAUGUGAAAGCCCUGGGCUUAACCCAGGAAGUGCAUUUGAAACUCACGAACUUGAGUCCCGGAGAGGAAGGCGGAAUUCUCGGUGUAGAGGUGAAAUUCGUAGAUAUCGAGAGGAACAUCGGUGGCGAAGGCAGCCUUCUGGGCGGUGACUGACGCUGAGACGCGAAAGCGUGGGGAGCAAACAGG
rnacentral:rRNA from 1 species